CAGGCUUGGUGUUUGUUCAAGUGGAAAUGAGGAAAGAGCUGGAAAACCUCAAGAAAGGUGGUCGUCCUAGACUCUUUUAUCUAAGAUUGGAAACCACUUGAGAGCAAGGGAAUCCUAGCUAUUAAGAUGAACUUCACUGGUACAGUUUUCUUGAAGAAUUUCCUCACAGAAGACAAUAAAAAUAUUGAUAAUAAUAAAAAUAUUGAUAAUAAAAUAAUAAUGUAGUUAGAAUAUUACCAUUUUCCCAGAAUCAUGGUAAUAAAUUGAUUUAGGCAAACAAAAAAGAAUAAAAUUAUCGGUAAAACUACUGCAAAGACGAGCCUUAAAAAAUAUUCAGUGAAAGAAGAGAAGCACAAAGGACCAUUUAUUAUAUAAUUCCAUUUAAAUAAAGUAGCUGAAGACUUAAAAGUAGAUUAGUAUUUGCCACAGGUCUGGAGAAGUAUGGAAGAGAAACAACGGUAGUGUGCACAGUAUAUUUUUGGAUGAAAUGGAAUUUAUAGUGAUGAUGGUUGCACAACUUGU
rnacentral:lncRNA from 1 species